GGGGGCCGGGGGCCGGAUCCUGCCCCCGGGGGCUCCCGCCCUGCGCAGCUCGGCGGCAGGCUCCGUGCCCCGGCUCGGCUCGGCACGGCUCGGCUCCGGGGGCAGGAGGAGGGAGAAGCUGCCCAGGGUGGCCGCGGAGCGAGCAGCUGGCUUCCCCGUGCGGCAGCCACCUGUCGUCUCGGGUUUGUCGUCUGAACUGAAAUUAAAGUGAUUGAAAAAUAAAUAAAUGCAAAUAAAAUGUACGUAUAAAUAAAGAAAAGUGGGAUCGCUUUGCAGAGCGAGGAUAACUCCGGUUCCCCCCCGCCGGAGCUGCGCUGUGCACUCUCCGCCUUUCCCAGGGCUGCCGCUUUGCUCGAGAGCAGCAGAAGGAAUCACACCGACAUCAAGACGAUGGGAGACUUCCAUAAAAAUAUGAUCGCACGCCAGCACAGAUCAGCCUGCUGGGAUCCCAGAUGAAAUCUAACAAAAAAGAGAGAGGCAAGGUGGGACGUGACACCUGCACUGCUCCCCAUGUGCCCCUGGCAGCCAGAAUCCAGCCCCGGGGAGGAAAGGCACCAUGUGGUGGGUGUUAGGAGGGUACCUGCUGCCUGUAACAUCCCCACCACGCGUGGCUGGGAGCCCCAGCCUGAUGCUGACUGUCUCCCUGCUGGUCCUCCGCAGCUGGGGCACCACACAAAGGUCUCCUCCUGCCUGAAGCCCCAGCAAGAGACUGGGACCCUGUGCAGUGCUCCAAAAUGGUCCGAGCUCCAGGGCUCAAUGCCAGGAAG